UGGCGGUCAUCUCAUUUGAAACACCGGUUCUCAUACAAUCAUCGAAGUUAAGCAACGUCGAGCCUGGUCAGUACCUAGAUGGGUGACUGUUUGGGAAUACCAAGCGCUGCAUG